AAAACGGCCCUUUUCAGGGCCACCAAAUCAUUGUGUUCUGUCUAU
rfam:Asian citrus Psyllid, Diaphorina citri - Florida Strain, whole genome shotgun sequence.